AGUUCCAUAGUGUAGUGGUUAUCACGUUCGCCUAACACGCGAAAGGUCCCCGGUUCAAGCCCGGGUGGAACUA
rnacentral:tRNA from 1 species